GACGAACGCUGGCGGCGUGCCUAAUACAUGCAAGUCGAACGCUUUUUCUUUGACCGAGUGCUUGCACUCACCCAAAGAAAAGGAGUGGCGGACGGGUGAGUAACACGUGGGUAACCUGCCCAGCAGAGGGGGAUAACACUUGGAAACAGGUGCUAAUACCGCAUAGGUUUUUCUUCCGCAUGGAAGAGAAAUGAAAGACGGCGCAAGCUGUCGCUGCAGGAUGGACCCGCGGCGCAUUAGCUAGUUGGUGAGGUAAAGGCUCACCAAGGCGAUGAUGCGUAGCCGACCUGAGAGGGUGAACGGCCACACUGGGACUGAGACACGGCCCAGACUCCUACGGGAGGCAGCAGUAGGGAAUCUUCCGCAAUGGACGAAAGUCUGACGGAGCAACGCCGCGUGAGUGAAGAAGGUUUUCGGAUCGUAAAACUCUGUUGUUAGAGAAGAACAGGAGAAGUAGUAACUGGCUUCUUUUUGACGGUAUCUAACCAGAAAGCCACGGCUAACUACGUGCCAGCCGCCGCCGUAACAC
rnacentral:rRNA from 1 species